rnacentral:sRNA from 1 species
AAAAAAACGAAAAAAA